UACGGGGGGGGCAAGCGUUGUUCGGAAUUACUGGGCGUAAAGGGCUCGUAGGCGGCCAACUAAGUCAGACGUGAAAUCCCUCGGCUUAACCGGGGAACUGCGUCUGAUACUGGAUGGCUUGAGAUUGGGAGAGGGAUGCGGAAUUCCGAGGUGUAGCGGUGAAAUGCGUAGAUAUCUGGAGGAACACCGGUGGCGAAGGCGACAUCCUGGACCAACACUGACGCUGAGGAGCGAAAGCCAGGGGAGCAAACGGG
rnacentral:rRNA from 1 species